UAUUCAAUAAAGGAAUUCAAAGAAGUUGAGAAGGUUCAGCUGCAUUCCAGAUUCCCACAAAUUUCUAAUUCAAGGCACUUUAUAACUCCAAACGAGUGGCUGAAACUGCCUACAAGAUACAUAGAAAGUGAAUUUUGUAGAAGGAGAAGGUUAAAGGUGAAAGUGAAUUUUAAUGACUGUAGUUUUGAUUUGAAACCUUUGGCAAGAGCUCCUUAUCUUUUGGAAUCCCAGGAAGAAGAAAAAACAGUUAUUUACAAAAACAAAGGGUCAUCCUUUCUAGAAAGAGAACCGCUGUGCUAUCAGGAGGGAAAUAAUCCAAGUGCCAAAGAGGCCAUCUCUGAAGGGUAUUUUUCUUCCUUGAGCCUCAGCCAGGAACGGGAGGAAGACCAGGAUGGGUUUCAGCAACCAAGGAGCACACACCCUGAUCCUUGAUUGGUGAAAGGAUACACAAAAUCAGGCUGCUUCAGAGGAAGUCAUCUGCUCACAGGAAUCAGGGUGAAGGCCAAGGACGGCACUCAAGAAUUGUCCUGUCUCUAAAAAAAAAGCAUCUGCAACGAACUUCCUUUAAUUUUUGAGUUCAGUGUCUGUGAUAAUUAAGAAAUGGCAAUACCAUGUAUUUUCCCCAGAAGUUAAGAAAUAUUGCUGAACGAACCAAUAAAAAUAAUUACAGCUCCCUC
rnacentral:lncRNA from 1 species